GAUGAACGCUAGCGGCAGGCCUAAUACAUGCAAGUCGAGGGGCAGCACGGUAGCAAUACUGGUGGCGACCGGCGCACGGGUGCGUAACACGUAUACAAUCUGCCUUUAACAGGGGGAUAGCCCGGAGAAAUCCGGAUUAAUACCCCAUAACACACGAAGCGGCAUCGCUUUGUGUUGAAAGCUCCGGCGGUUAAAGAUGAGUAUGCGUCUGAUUAGCUAGUUGGUGAGGUAACGGCUCACCAAGGCGACGAUCAGUAGGGGAUCUGAGAGGAUUAACCCCAAAACGGAAACUGAGACACGGAUCCGACUACUACGGGAGGCAGCAGUAAGGAAUAUUGGACAAUGCCCGCAAGGGUGAUCCAGCCACGCCGCGUGCAGGAAGACGGCCCUAUGGGUUGUAAACUGCUUUUGUACCGGAGAAAACCUCCCCUCGUGAGGGGAGCUGAUAGUAUGGUAAGAAUAAGCAUCGGCUAACUUCGUGCCAGCAGCCGCGGUAACAC
rnacentral:rRNA from 1 species